rnacentral:rRNA from 1 species
GAUGAACGCUGGCGGCGUGCCUAAUACAUGCAAGUCGAGCGAACAGACGAGGAGCUUGCUCCUCUGACGUUAGCGGCGGACGGGUGAGUAACACGUGGAUAACCUACCUAUAAGACUGGGAUAACUUCGGGAAACCGGAGCUAAUACCGGAUAAUAUAUUGAACCGCAUGGUUCAAUAGUGAAAGACGGUUUUGCUGUCACUUAUAGAUGGAUCCGCGCCGCAUUAGCUAGUUGGUAAGGUAACGGCUUACCAAGGCGACGAUGCGUAGCCGACCUGAGAGGGUGAUCGGCCACACUGGAACUGAGACACGGUCCAGACUCCUACGGGAGGCAGCAGUAGGGAAUCUUCCGCAAUGGGCGAAAGCCUGACGGAGCAACGCCGCGUGAGUGAUGAAGGUCUUCGGAUCGUAAAACUCUGUUAGUAGGGAAGAACAAAUGUGUAAGUAACUAUGCACGUCUUGACGGUACCUAAUCAGAAAGCCACGGCUAACUACGUG